CUUGGUCAUGGGGUUUGGCUCCGAGCUUCCACACAGACUCAGCUCUCCCGUUCUUAGGAGGUGACAUGGCUUGUCCUGUUGUUGUGUUAUACUGAUGUCUCCCUCCAAAUGGCAGAUACCCUGAUUCCUAUUUGCCACAUGCCACUCACCUGGAUUCUGUGGUUAAGCCACAUCAAUGUGCUCUGUCACUUCAUAGUCUGCCAUUCCUGUCACUAGCAACUUCCUUUCCUCCAUCCUUCAUCUGGCCCUGGCUUAUGGAAGAGCCACUAAGCUUCUCCCUGGUGCUGCUGCUUUUCUGGCCAGCACACUCCUGUUGCUCAGGUGAAUACCCGGUGUGCCCCAGACCCCCCUGAGGAUCAUGUCAUUUGUGCUGGUGUCCAACACUACCUGGCAGAGGUAUUUCUGCUAAGCACUCUAAGAACUGUUAAUAUCUCUCACACUAUCCACUGUCACAGCUCAGGCAUAUCAAUCUUACUUGUGUGGAACAUAAACUUCUCCUCCUAAGUAUCAUUAAACUGGCAGACUUGCCUAGCUCCUUGAUGUCUUUGCCAGAAGGCUAAAUCCAAUGCCCCAGGAGGUGCCUGCAGUAGAUAAUUCCCCAUUCCUUCUCAGGUCCUGCCCAUGGUUCUGCCCUUUCAGUACAUAGUCCUUCAACACUCUCUAGGCUCCGCUCAUGUCUUAGCUGAAUUUGUAGCUCCUGUCUCCCACAGCAGGCCUAGACCUUUUCUGACUAGGGUUUCUUG